AGUCAAAUGACUGAAACAAGUAAAAGAAGUCGUGGCUGUGUGGUAAGAAGCUUGCUUCCCAACCACAUGGUUUCGGGUUCAGUCCCACUGCUUGGCACCUUGGGCAAGUGUCUUCCACUUUAGUCUGGGGGCCCCCCAAAGCCUUAUCAGUCAAUUUCUUAGACGGAAACUGAAAGAAGCUCGUCGUAUAUAUAUAUAUAUA